rnacentral:rRNA from 1 species
UACGGAGGGCGCAAGCGUUGUUCGGAAUCAUUGGGCGUAAAGCGCGUGUAGGCGGCUUGGCAAGUCGGAUGUGAAAUCCCGGGGCUCAACCCCGGAACUGCAUUCGAAACUGCCUCGCUAGAGUCCCGGAGAGGAGGGCGGAAUUCCCGGUGUAGAGGUGAAAUGCGUAGAGAUCGGGAGGAACACCAGUGGCGAAGGCGGCCACCUGGACGGUGACUGACGCUGAGACGCGAAAGCGUGGGUAGCAAACAGG